UUUAUGAUAGAUGAUUUGUUUUAAUUUACUUGUGUUAUGUAUUGUAAUAUCUGUUCACUCUUAACUGAAGAGGAGGGGAAUCAGGGGUAUAUAAACAAGUGUCAUUAACAAAAUGCGAAUAUCGACUGGAGGAAGCACAAUCAAUUAAAUUAAGCGCAAAACUGCUACAGAGGAAGGUGGAAGGUGGAUGUAUGCUAAUUAGCCAUGUGGACUUGGUGUCUCUGCAUAUACACAUACUCCCUCCUAGCCCAUGCCUAGUUUUAUAUUUUGGUUGUUUCAUACUGUUUUGUAUUUCCGCAUUUGUG